rnacentral:rRNA from 1 species
CCCUUAGAUGUUCUGGGCCGCACGCGUGCUACGCUGAGUGGAUCAGCGGGUCAGGUUGCGCGAAAGUGUUUCCUAAUCUUUAAAUCCGCUCGUGAUGGGGAUUGACGGUUGCAAUUUUCCGUCAUGAACGAGGAAUACCUUGUAAGCGCGGGUCAUCAUCCCGCGCUGAAUACGUCCCUGCCCUUUGUACACACCGCCCGUCGCUCCUACCGAUUGAGUGGUCCGGUGAGGCUUUGGGAUCUGAGCGGAAAGAGCGUUUCGCUGUUUCUGCCCGGAAAACUCAGUCGAACCUUAUCAUUUAGAGGAAGGAGCAGUCGUAACA